rnacentral:rRNA from 1 species
GAUGAACGCUGGCGGCGUGCCUAAUACAUGCAAGUCGAGCGAACAGACGAGGAGCUUGCUCCUCUGACGUUAGCGGCGGACGGGUGAGUAACACGUGGAUAACCUACCUAUAAGACUGGGAUAACUUCGGGAAACCGGAGCUAAUACCGGAUAAUAUAUUGAACCGCAUGGUUCAAUAGUGAAAGACGGUUUUGCUGUCACUUAUAGAUGGAUCCGCGCCGCAUUAGCUAGUUGGUAAGGUAACGGCUUACCAAGGCAACGAUGCGUAGCCGACCUGAGAGGGUGAUCGGCCACACUUGAACUGAUACACGGUCCAGACUCCUACGUGAGGCAGCAGUAGGGAAUCUUCCGGAAUGGGCGAAAGCCUGACGGAGCAACGCCGCGUGAGUGAUGAAGGUCUUCGGAUCGUAAAACUCUGUUAUUAGGGAAGAACAAAUGUGUAAGUAACUAUGCACGUCUUGACGGUACCUAAUCAGAAAGCCACGGCUAACUACGUG